rnacentral:ncRNA from 1 species
CGGCCGCGGCAAGCGACAGGUUCUCCGGUAACGGAGACGAAGAGGGAACGGGAAAACCCCGGCUGCCCCUGCAACUGUACGCGGCGAGCCAUCGGCCACAUGCCAUUGGGACCCCGGUCCCGAGAAGGCGGCCGACCGGCGCUGACCCGCAAGCCAGGAGACCUGCCCGUCGCCGUCGUCUUUCG